GAUGAACGCUGGCGGCGUGCCUAAUACAUGCAAGUCGAGCGAACAGACGAGGAGCUUGCUCCUCUGACGUUAGCGGCGGACGGGUGAGUAACCCGUGGAUAACCUACCUAUAAGACUGGGAUAACUUCGGGAAACCGGAGCUAAUACCGGAUAAUAUAUUGAACCGCAUGGUUCAAUAGUGAAAGACGGUUUUGCUGUCACUUAUAGAUGGAUCCGCGCCGCAUUAGCUAGUUGGUAAGGUAACGGCUUACCAAGGCAACGAUGCGUAGCCGACCUGAGAGGGUGAUCGGCCACACUGGAACUGAGACACGGUCCAGACUCCUACGGGAGGCAGCAGUAGGGAAUCUUCCGCAAUGGGCGAAAGCUUGACGGAGCAACGCCGCGUGAGUGAUGAAGGUCUUCGGAUCGUAAAACUCUGUUAUUAGGGAAGAACAAAUGUGUAAGUAACUAUGCACGUCUUGACGGUACCUAAUCAGAAAGCCACGGCUAACUACGUG
rnacentral:rRNA from 1 species